GUUUAAAUGUUCCGGUUAAUCUUAGUGGCGCUAAAUCUAUUGAUGGAAAAAAGGAAGAUCUAGCUUUAGGUGCGACUACUUAUCUUGGCGGAAGAUUGGCAGCUGAUGGUGU